rnacentral:rRNA from 1 species
GACGAACGCUGGCGGCGUGCUUAACACAUGCAAGUCGAACGGAAAGGCCCUGCUUUUGUGGGGUGCUCGAGUGGCGAACGGGUGAGUAACACGUGAGUAACCUGCCCUUGACUUUGGGAUAACUUCAGGAAACUGGGGCUAAUACCGGAUAGGAGCUCCUGCUGCAUGGUGGGGGUUGGACAGUUUCGGCGGUUGGGGAUGGACUCGCGGCUUAUCAGCUUGUUGGUGGGGUAGUGGCUUACCAAGGCUUUGACGUGUAGCCGGCCUGAGAGGGUGACCGGACACAUUGGGACUGAGAUACGGCCCAGACUCCUACGGGAGGCAGCAGUGGGGAAUAUUGCACAAUGGGCGGAAGCCUGAUGCAGCAACGCCGCGUGCGGGAUGACGGCCUUCGGGUUGUAAACCGCUUUCGCCUGUGACGAAGCGUGAGUGACGGUAAUGGGUAAAGAAGCACCGGCUAACUACGUG